AAUAAGAUGCCUGAUAAAAGGGUUACUUUGAUAGAGUAGAUCAUGUUGGCUAACCCAACUCUUAUUA
rnacentral:tRNA from 1 species